CCUACGGGCGGCAGCAGUGAGGAAUAUUGGUCAAUGGGCGCGAGCCUGAACCAGCCAAGUAGCGUGAAGGAUGACUGCCCUACGGGUUGUAAACUUCUUUUAUAAAGGAAUAAAGUGAGCCACGUGUGGCUCUUUGAGUGUACUCUAUGAAUAAGCAUCGGCUAACUCCGUGCCAGCAGCCGCGGUAAUACGGAGGAUGCGAGCGUUAUCCGGAUUUAUUGGGUUUAAAGGGGGCGCAGAGGGGUGGUCAAGUCAGGGGUGAAAGUUCGGGGCUCAACCCCAAAAUUGCAGUUGAAACUGGCACUCUUGAGUACAGGAGAGGUAGGCGGAAUUCGUGGUGUAGCGGUGAAAUGCAUAGAUAUCACGAAGAACUCCGAUUGCGAAGGCAGCAUACUGAACUGCCACUGACACUGAUGCUCGAAAGUGUGGGUAUCGAACAGGAUUAGAUACCCCUGUAGUC
rnacentral:rRNA from 1 species